UGCCAUCAGCCUCGGUAAUACUGAGUAUCCAAGCGUGAUCCGGAAUCAUUGGGUUUAAAGGGUCCGUAGGCGGUCUGAUAAGUCAGAGGCGAAAUCCUGCAGCUCAACUGUAGCAUUGCCUUUGAUACUGCCAGACUUGAGUUAUUGUGAAGUAGUUAGAAUGUGUAGUGUAGCGGUGAAAUGCAUAGAUAUUACACAGAAUACCGAUUGCGAAAGCAGAUUACUAACAAUAUACUGACGCUGAGGGACGAAAGCGUGGGUAGCAAACAGGAUUAGAUA
rnacentral:rRNA from 1 species